UUUUUACGCUACUUCUCAUCUCCGUUCUUUGUUUGGUCGCGUUAUCUAAUCUUCUUCUUCAUCGACUAGAUUCAAUCAGUGUCAUCAAAGUUCUUUUCAAAUCCAUCUUCCCCACUCCUUCCAUCAUUCUUCAUUCAAUGUUUCCAUCUUACUUUCAGUCGGUGAAUGUACAAAUAUAUAUAGAGCUGAACGGAAAACUCUUCUCUCUAUGAGAUAUCACCUAUGAGAGGAAGCAAAGCAUCUCUUUGAGCCUACCUGUGUGUAGAAUUAUAAGAUUCAUCUUUAUUUUCUUUUUCUUUUUUCACUAACAAAAACCAAAACUUAGAAAAUGUGAUGUUUAUAUAAAGGCAAAGCAAACUCAUCUGUUCUGAUA